rnacentral:rRNA from 1 species
UACGUAUGGAGCAAGCGUUAUCCGGAUUUACUGGGUGUAAAGGGAGCGCAGGCGGCCAGGCAAGUCUGAUGUGAAAUACCGGGGCUCAACCCCGGAACUGCAUUGGAAACUGUCAGGCUGGAGUGUCGGAGAGGCAGGCGGAAUUCCUGGUGUAGCGGUGAAAUGCGUAGAUAUCAGGAGGAACACCAGUGGCGAAGGCGGCCUGCUGGACGAUGACUGACGCUGAGGCUCGAAAGCGUGGGGAGCAAACA